rnacentral:pre_miRNA from 1 species
AAGCUGACAAAGCCAGGAUUCGAAACCCGGUCUUCUUAAAUUCAAUGCAGAGGCAUUGAAUUUAAGAAGACCGGGUUUCGAAUUUUUAUUUUAU